UAAUGUUUUAACCUUUCGCGGUUUUAGCAUCGAUCGUAUAUAAUAAAAUAUGACCACGACGUUUGGGACUCGAGAAAAAUAAUCGGCUGGUCGAAAUUUCCAUAGAUGGUAUAGUUCUAUGGUUGAACACUACAGUCAAUACCCAACAUUGCAGUUUUAGCACAACUUAUUGCAUCUUUGAGUGCCAUUCCUGUCAUCUAUUGAGUAGCCUACCCAGCCUUUCUCUGGGUUACUGAAAUUUUUUCAAAGGUGCAUUUUUGAAAUAAACCCAGAUAACGGACAGAAAUCAUGAAAAAGAGGAAGACUCAAGUGUGCCAAAAAGUGAUAUAACUAAUUACUGAACCGUCAAACUUUGAAUGGAUGAAGUAUGGUUGCAGCAAUAUACUGGUACCGUCAGAUGGUAUACGGUGUUUUAGAUGUCACAUUUCGGGUCAAGGUGCUUUAAAUUCCGUACCACGGUUCGGUUAACAUGGUACAGAUAUUUUAACUGUCCGUUUUCUUCCGAUGCUCAACUUCGAGCUGGACGAUAUUGGUAAAAUCAAAUAUCGCGAUAUUUCCCCAAAAAAACGACGAUAUAUCACUAUAUCGCGAUAUUUUAGUUUUAUUAUAAAAAGCUAACAAUAUAUCGCGAUAUAUCACAAUAUCCCGAUAUUUUAGUUUUAUUAUAAAAGAUGUGAUUAUAUAAGUGUUAAAAACAGGUCAUUCCCACCCCCUUAGGGUGCAUUAUUCCUGUUUCAAAAGCACAGACCGAGAAUUAAGUUCAAGGGUUAGGGUUUUGGCUAGGCAAAUGUGGAGAGGGGUGGGGGAGAAAAUUGGGGAUAAGGGACUGAGCCACGGCCCUUUUAUGAGUGGUACUUUGUAAAUGAGGCUUUAAACACACUGCAAGAAAUCUUUUUAAUGAAUCUUCUUAAUUAAACUUGAUCUUAUUUUACUUUUGAUAAGAUGUCAGUUUACUUUGAUGGAAAUAUCUGUUAGUCAUCUAGUUUGUCCAUCCACAAUUUGGUACAUUUGUAAAAUCAUUGUAAUGAAUUUUCUUAAUUAAACUUGAUCUUCUUAUUGUACUUUUGAUAAGAUGUCCGUUUACUUUAAUGGAAAAAUCUGUUGGUCAUUUAGUUUGUCCAUUCACAAUUUGGUAUAUUUGUAAAAUUAUCCUCGGUUCAUUUUGUCUCUAAAUAUCAACUUCCUUGCAUAAACAUUAAAAAUGUGCUACUCUCAUCUAUGCAUUUCAUUUUGGGACCGGUACAUUAACUUUGUCAGUAGUCGAGUUCCAUCUAAAUUUUUAUCAAUGAGACUGAAUCAAUUUAUGCCAUUCUCACUAAGGAAUGUACAUACUUAGGCAGAGUUAUUGUGCAAAAUUGUAUACAUUUUCAAACAGAGAUUAAGCUAAUCAUUGAAACAAGCUGUACAUUCAAGGUAGAAUAAUAGGAAUUCUGCAUUGAUGCUGUUCUUGUUUUAAAGUCAUGAUACUUUUUGGGUUCAAUAAUUGUUAGAUUUUAAAUUGUUCAUUUAAACAUUUAGAAUGCAAAUUCGUUAAUCUCCAAAAAAUUUCAUGAUUUCAUUAGAUCAUGUUUUACUGUUAUAAUUUACUGAUAAGGUGAUAGUUUUACUUUCAUGUUGUUGAUGUUUUAAAUAAUAGAUUUGAGGUAAAUAUUAUAAUACCAUGGUAAGAUUUUAGAAAAAGAUUUGAGGGUAAUACUAUUGUAACACACUGAUUUUAUAUUUGUAGAAUAGAUUCUGAAUGUUAUUGUUAUACUAUAAAAAAUUCAUUUAAAUAUUAUAAUGUAAAUGUUACAUGUACAAGAAUUUGAAUGGAUAAUUUUAUUAUUGUUAAAUUUUUCAUGAACUUUCCUUUGGACAUUUGUAUUUUGUUCGUUAUUAUUAAUGAAGAAUUAUGUAAAGAGCUUUGUUUUUGUUGAAAUAUACCACCAAACUGCUUGACAGCCAAAGAAUAUUUUCAAUCUCUAAACCUCCAUUUUGUAAUAGCAAACCUGCUCUUGAUCAAAUAUUUUAAAAAUAUGGGUUUGUGGUUGACAGGUUUUUUUUUUUAAGGCAGUUGUUAGCUUUACUUACUGACAGUAAUCUCCAAUUUCCAGUAUUUUCAGGUCUUUUUAUUAUAUCUUAAACUAUCAUGUAAAAGCAUUUUUGAGGAAUUAUAUCUUGUUUUGAAUAAUUAAAUUCUGUU